GACGAACGCUGGCGGCGUGCCUAAUACAUGCAAGUUGAGCGCUGAAGGUUGGUACUUGUACCAACUGGAUGAGCAGCGAACGGGUGAGUAACGCGUGGGGAAUCUGCCUUUGAGCGGGGGACAACAUUUGGAAACGAAUGCUAAUACCGCAUAAAAACUUUAAACACAAGUUUUAAGUUUGAAAGAUGCAAUUGCAUCACUCAAAGAUGAUCCCGCGUUGUAUUAGCUAGUUGGUGAGGUAAAGGCUCACCAAGGCGAUGAUACAUAGCCGACCUGAGAGGGUGAUCGGCCACAUUGGGACUGAGACACGGCCCAAACUCCUACGGGAGGCAGCAGUAGGGAAUCUUCGGCAAUGGACGAAAGUCUGACCGAGCAACACCGCGUGAGUGAAGAAGGGUUUCGGAUCGUAAAACUCUGUUGGUAGAGAAGAACGUUGGUGAGAGUGGAAAGCUCAUCAAGUGACGGUAACUACCCAGAAAGGGACGGCUAACUACGUG
rnacentral:rRNA from 1 species